rnacentral:misc_RNA from 1 species
GAUGAAGAACGUACCGAAACGCGAUAUGUAAUGUGAAUUGCAGAAUUCAGUGAAUCAUCGAAUCUUUGAACGCACAUGGCGCCUUCCAGUAUCCUGGGAGGCAUGCCUGUCCGAGCGUCGUUUCAACCCUCGAGCCCCCGUGGCCCGGCGUUGGGGAUCUGCCCAGGCAGUCCCCGAAAACCAGUGGCGGACCCGUUACAGGCCCUUCCCUUGCGUAGUAGCAUUCGCCUCGCAUCGGGAGCCGGCGGGCUUCCAGCCUCUAAACCCCCAUCAAGUCCGCCCCGGCGGCACCAAGGUUGACCUCGGAUCAGGUAGGAAUACCCGCUGAACUUAAGCAUAUCAAUAAGCGGAGGA